CCCCAAUCCAGAGACUAGAAAUCAAGGCCCUCUCGGUCCUUUAACCCCACUUUCCUUUAAGCACGGGCCCUCCAGUUAUUCGUGCUGAGAAAUUUCGCUCCUUGCAAACAAAGGAAGACAGUGCCCUCUGAAGUCCUUUGUUCGCAUUAACUCGUCAGCUUCAGAACGAGCCUUUACAGGUCUGCUUCAUAUUUUAACUUAUUAUUCAGAGUCGCGGCUCCAGACUGCUCCACAAAGCCAGAGAGGCCAGAUCGCUUACCGGUCAGACCCACGUGCAGGGGGGUCUACCAGCUGCAAGGUAAAGAGACCGGGUACGUUGCCAGCCCACCCCUGGUUCCUAAAGAUGUGGAUAAAAAUCCGCGAAGACCAGACAGAGAAAGGCCGCAGAUAUUGGAGAUAGGUGCUGAAAAGCCGAGAGAGGUCCAGCCUCAGCAGAGUCCAGGGAUAUCCUCAGGAUGGACGACGUCUGCGAAUGAAGAAAGAUAGAUAAAGAGAUAAAGAAAGAGACACGGGGUGACCAAGCUUCUUUGGCUGUGGGCUUCUCUUGUCA
ensembl:lncRNA